rfam:Pteropus alecto contig41132, whole genome shotgun sequence.
GUCUACUGCCAUGCCACCCUGAACAAGGCUGAUCCUGUCUGAUCUUGGAAGCUAAGCAGGGUCCGGCCUGUUUAGUACUAGGAUGGGAGACCACCUAGGGAGACCAGGUGCUGUAGGCA